rnacentral:rRNA from 1 species
GAUGAACGCUGGCGGCGUGGAUAAGGCAUGCAAGUCGAGUGGGUUUAGGCCCACGGCAAACGGGUUCGGAAUACAUAGGAAUUUUCCUCAGAGUCGUGAAUAAUUCGGAGAAAUCCGAGCUAAUACACGAUACGCUCUACGGAGUAAAGAUUUAUCGCUUUGAGAUGAGCCUGUGUCCUAUCAGCUUGUUGGUGAGGUAAAAGCCCACCAAGGCUAUGACGGGUAGGGGGUGUGAGAGCAUGACCCCCAACAUUGGAACUGAGACACUGUCCAAGCACCUACGGGUGGCUGCAGUCGAGAAUAUUCCACAAUGGACGAAAGUCUGAUGGAGCGACGCCGCGU